rnacentral:rRNA from 1 species
ACUCCUACGGGAGGCAGCAGUGGGGAAUCUUAGACAAUGGGGAAACCCGUAGCAUCUAGCCAUGCCGCGUGAGCGAUGAAGGCCUUAGGGUUGUAAAGCUCUUUCAGCGGGGAAGAUAAUGACGGUACCCGCAGAAGAAGCCCGCGUACAUCCGUGCCAGCAGCCGCGGUAAUACGGAGGGGCGUAGCGUUAAUCGGAAUUACUGGGCGUAAAGCGCGCGUAGGCGGCUUGAUAAGCCGGUUGUGAAAGCCCGGGCUCAACCUGGGAACGGCAUCCGGAACUGUCAGGCUAGAGUGCAGGAGAGGAAGGUAGAAUUCCCGGUGUAGCGGUGAAAUGCGUAGAGAUCGGGAGGAAUACCAGUGGCGAAGGCGGCCUUCUGGACUGACACUGACGCUGAGGUGCGAAAGCGUGGGUAGCAAACAGGAUUAGAUACCCUGGUAGGCUCUGC